rnacentral:rRNA from 1 species
GGCCAAGUUUUUAAGGGCGCACGGUGGAUGCCUUGGCACCAGGAACCGAUGAAGGACGUGGGAGGCCACGAUAGUCCCCGGGGAGUCGUCAACCAGGCUUUGAUCCGGGGGUUUCCGAAUGGGGAAACCCGGCAGUCGUCAUGGGCUGUCACCCUUGUCUGAACACAUAGGGCAAGUGGAGGGAACGCGGGGAAGUGAAACAUCUCAGUACCCGCAGGAAGAGAAAACAACCGUGAUUCCGGGAGUAGUGGCGAGCGAAACCGGAUGAGGCUAAACCGUAUACGUGUGAGACCCGGCAGGGGUUGCGUAUGCGGGGUUGUGGGAUCUCUCUUCCACGGUCUGCCGGCCGUGGGACGAGUCAGAAACCGUUGAUGUAGGCGAAGGACAUGCGAAAGGUCCGGCGUAGAGGGUAAGACCCCCGUAGUCGAAACAUCAGCGGCUCGUUUGAGAGACACCCAAGUAGCACGGGGCCCGAGAAAUCCCGUGUGAAUCUGGCGGGACCACCCGCUAAGCCUAAAUAUUCCCUGGUGACCGAUAGCGGAUAGUACCGUGAGGGAAUGGUGAAAAGUACCCCGGGAGGGGAGUGAAAUAGUACCUGAAACCGUGUGCCUACAAGCCGUGGGAGCGUCGGAUGGAAGCUUGCUUCCAUCUCGUGACUGCGUGCCUUUUGAAGAAUGAGCCUGCGAGUUUGCGGUGUGUUGCGAGGUUAACCCGUGUGGGGAAGCCGUAGCGAAAGCGAGUCCGAAUAGGGCGUUUCAGUAGCACGCUCAAGACCCGAAGCGGAGUGAUCUAGCCAUGGGCAGGUUGAAGCGGAGGUAAGACUUCGUGGAGGACCGAACCCACCAGGGUUGAAAACCUGGGGGAUGACCUGUGGUUAGGGGUGAAAGGCCAAUCAAACUCCGUGAUAGCUGGUUCUCCCCGAAAUGCAUUUAGGUGCAGCGUCGUGUGUUUCUUGCCGGAGGUAGAGCACUGGAUAGGCGAUGGGCCCUACCGGGUUACUGACCUUAGCCAAACUCCGAAUGCCGGUAAGUGAGAGCGCGGCAGUGAGACUGUGGGGGAUAAGCUCCAUGGUCGAGAGGGAAACAGCCCAGAGCAUCGACUAAGGCCCCUAAGCGUACGCUAAGUGGGAAAGGAUGUGGAGUCGCAGAGACAACCAGGAGGUUGGCUUAGAAGCAGCCACCCUUGAAAGAGUGCGUAAUAGCUCACUGGUCUAGUGAUUCCGCGCCGACAAUGUAGCGGGGCUCAAGCGUACCGCCGAAGUCGUGUCAUUGCGAUAUGUACCCCCAACGGGGAUCGUGAUGGGUAGGGGAGCGUCGUGUGCCGGGUGAAGCAGCACCGGAAGGUAGUUGUGGACGGUUCACGAGUGAGAAUGCAGGCAUGAGUAGCGAUUCACACGUGAGAAACGUGUGCGCCGAUUGACUAAGGGUUCCUGGGUCAAGCUGAUCUGCCCAGGGUAAGUCGGGACCUAAGGCGAGGCCGACAGGCGUAGUCGAUGGAUAACCGGUUGAUAUUCCGGUACCCGCUGUGAAGCGUCAAACAUCGAGCAUCGUGAUGCUAAGGCCGUGAAGCCGCCCUGGAGCCUUCGGGCAAAGGGGAGUGGUGGAGCCGCUGAACCAAGCGGUUAGUAGGUGAGUGAUGGGGUGACGCAGGAAGGUAGUCCAUCCCGGGCGGUGGUUGUCCCGGGGUAAGGGUGUAGGCCGUGAUCUAGGCAAAUCCGGAUCACACAAGGCUGAGACCUGAUGCCGAGCCGAUUGUGGUGAAGUGGAUGAUCCUAUGCUGUCGAGAAAAGCCUCUAGCGAGUUUCAUGGCGGCCCGUACCCUAAACCGACUCAGGUGGUCAGGUAGAGAAUACCGAGGCGUUCGGGUGAACUAUGGUUAAGGAACUCGGCAAAAUGCCCCCGUAACUUCGGGAGAAGGGGGGCCACACUCGGUGAUCCGAUUUACUCGGUGAGCUGGGGGUGGCCGCAGAGACCAGCGAGAAGCGACUGUUUACUAAAAACACAGGUCCGUGCGAAGCCGUAAGGCGAUGUAUACGGACUGACGCCUGCCCGGUGCUGGAACGUUAAGGGGACCGGUUAGCUCAGAUUCGUCUGGGCGAAGCUGAGAACUUAAGCGCCAGUAAACGGCGGUGGUAACUAUAACCAUCCUAAGGUAGCGAAAUUCCUUGUCGGGUAAGUUCCGACCUGCACGAAUGGCGUAACGACUUCUCGACUGUCUCAACCAUAGGCCCGGUGAAAUUGCACUACGAGUAAAGAUGCUCGUUUCGCGCAGCAGGACGGAAAGACCCCGGGACCUUUACUACAGUUUGAUAUUGGUGUUCGGUUCGGCUUGUGUAGGAUAGCUGGGAGACUGUGAACUCUGGACGCCAGUUCAGGGGGAGUCGUCGUUGAAAUACCAGUCUGGUCGUGCUGGAUGUCUAACCUGGGUCCGUGAUCCGGAUCAGGGACAGUGUCUGAUGGGUAGUUUAACUGGGGCGGUUGCCUCCUAAAGAGUAACGGAGGCGCCCAAAGGUUCCCUCAGCCUGGUUGGCAAUCAGGUGUUGAGUGUAAGUGCACAAGGGAGCUUGACUGUGAGACCGACGGGUCGAGCAGGGACGAAAGUCGGGACUAGUGAUCCGGCGGUGGCUUGUGGAAGCGCCGUCGCUCAACGGAUAAAAGGUACCCCGGGGAUAACAGGCUGAUCUUCCCCAAGAGUCCAUAUCGACGGGAUGGUUUGGCACCUCGAUGUCGGCUCGUCGCAUCCUGGGGCUGGAGUCGGUCCCAAGGGUUGGGCUGUUCGCCCAUUAAAGCGGUACGCGAGCUGGGUUUAGAACGUCGUGAGACAGUUCGGUCCCUAUCCGCUGUGCGCGUAGGAAUAUUGAGAAGGGCUGUCCCUAGUACGAGAGGACCGGGACGGACGAACCUCUGGUGUGCCAGUUGUUCUGCCAAGGGCAUGGCUGGUUGGCUACGUUCGGGAGGGAUAACCGCUGAAAGCAUCUAAGCGGGAAGCCUGCUUCGAGAUGAGUAUUCCCACCUCCUUGAGAGGGUAAGGCUCCCAGUAGACGACUGGGUUGAUAGGCCGGAUAUGGAAGCACGGUAACGUGUGGAGUUGACCGGUACUAAUAGGCCGAGGGCUUGUCCUC